rnacentral:rRNA from 1 species
UAAUACGUAGGGACCGAGCGUUGUCCGGAUUCAUUGGGCGUAAAGAGCUCGUAGGCGGCCACUCAAGUCGAAUGUGAAACCUCGAGGCUUAACCUCGAGCCUGCAUUCGAUACUGGGCGGCUAGAGUCUGGUAGGGGGAUCUGGAAUUCCUGGUGUAGCGGUGAAAUGCGCAGAUAUCAGGAGGAACACCGGUGGCGAAGGCGGGUCUCUGGGCAACAACUGACGCUGAGGAGCGAAAGCGUGGGGAGCGAACAGGAUUAGAUACCCUGGUAGUCCACGCCGUAAACGUUGGGCGCUAGGUGUGGGGCUCAUUCCACGAGUUCCGUGCCGCAGCUAACGCAUUAAGCGCCCCGCCUGGGGAGUACGGCCGCAAGGCUA